rnacentral:rRNA from 2 species
AUUACCGAGUUUACAACUCCCAAACCCCUGUGAACAUACCCAUCGUUGCCUCGGCGGUGCCCGCUCCGGCGGCCCGCCAGAGGACCCCCAAACUCUUGUUUUAUACAGCAUCUUCUGAGUAACACGAUUAAAUAAAUCAAAACUUUCAACAACGGAUCUCUUGGUUCUGGCAUCGAUGAAGAACGCAGCGAAAUGCGAUAAGUAAUGUGAAUUGCAGAAUUCAGUGAAUCAUCGAAUCUUUGAACGCACAUUGCGCCCGCCAGUAUUCUGGCGGGCAUGCCUGUUCGAGCGUCAUUUCAACCCUCAAGCCCCCGGGCUUGGUGUUGGGGAUCGGCGUGCCCUUCGCGGCGCGCCGUCCCCUAAAUCUAGUGGCGGUCUCGCUGCAGCUUCCUCUGCGUAGUAGCACACCUCGCACCGGAGAGCAGCGCGGCCACGCCGUUAAACCCCCCACUUCUGAAAGGUUGACCUCGGAUCAGGUAGGAAUACCCGCUGAACUUAAGCAUAUCAAUA